ACUCAAUAGAUACCCUGGUAGUCCACGCCCUAAACGAUGUCUACUAGUUGUCGGGUCUUAAUUGACUUGGUAAACGCAGCUAAACGCGUGAAGUAGACCGCCUGGGGAGUACAGUCGCAAGAUUAAAACUCAAAGGAAUUGACGGGGACCCGCACAAGCGGUGGAUGAUGUGGAUUAAUUCGAUGCAACGCGAAAACCUUACCUACCCUUGACAUGGAUGGAAUCCCUGAGAGAUUGGGGAGUGCCCGAAAGGGAACCAUUACACAGGUGCUGCAUGGCUGUCGUCAGCUCGUGUCGUGAGAUGUUGGGUUAAGUCCCGCAACGAGCGCAACCCUUGUCAUUAGUUGCUACGAAAGGGCACUCUAAUGAGACUGCCGGUGACAAACCGGAGGAAGGUGGGGAUGACGUCAAGUCCUCAUGGCCCUUAUGGGUAGGGCUUCACACGUCAUACAAUGGUACAUACAGAGGGCCGCCAACCCGCGAGGGGAGCUAAUCCCAGAAAGUGUAUCGUAGUCCGGAUUGUAGUCUGCAACUCG
rnacentral:rRNA from 1 species